CAUAUUACUUACAGUAGCAAAUUUUUCGGAUUUGCAGGAAGAAGGGAAGCAGCUAUGUUGCUGACUUCGUUGAGACUGAGAAGAGCUACACCACCACUAUUGUCAUGGACGUUCCGGCGGCAGCUGAGAACGACGGGUGCAAGUGUGGCACCAGCUGCGCUUGCGUGGACUGCACUUGUGGUGGUCAUUAAUCUAAAUACUAUGUUUAACAAUAAUUUCAAGUGACUGAAAUUGUUGGAAUAAUGUAAUCCUUGAUAAUAACACGUGUGAAGUGUGUGUGAGUGUGUCAGUCAUACUUGUAUUUCCUUUCCAUAAUCAUGUAAUGGCCUUGGCCUUUUGUGGUUUUUAAUGUAUUGCUGUUAUUAGUAUA